rnacentral:sRNA from 1 species
UAGAUACUUCUGCUCUU